CUCUGCGCGCCGACAUGUCUCCGGAGUGUCAGCCUCCGAGGCGAACGAAGACCGUCGCGAAAAUCGAAAAAACGACGGAAAAACGAGAACCGAAAAAUAAAUAAACGGCUGCGCUCGUCACGUUUCUUUUAAAUCGUUUUCAAGGCUGCAAUUAACCAAUAUUCGUUAACGAGCUCCGCACUCAUAAAUACGAUGAAAUUCGUGAAAAUAAUCGCCUCCGAGUUAGUCAAGUACGUGUAAAAUGAAUACGCGAAAAAAAACGAAGAAAAGGACGAGGAAAGAUAAUAAUAUGUCGUUUAAGUGUUUCAUUGAUUUCUGAUUUUAUACCAACAAAUACAACAAAGUACACGUUGUCCGAAACAUAAACCCCAACGAAUAUGCUUGUAUUCACGUGUACAAGUGGCGAACGACCGCGAUAUUGAACUUUCGCGUGCGUGAUCAAAAGAGAAUAAAUAAAGUUGUCUCUCCGUGUGUCAGUGUCAUUGUGCGUCGAACAUACAACGUGCUCUCGUCUCAUUAUUUCCAAUAUCUGAGGCAUUGUCCGCGCUCAAACUCCUUGACGACUGUCUUAUGUUUGAUUUUUCAAGCGUUAUUUUCGUUCUUAAAUAUUCGGUGUUCGGUGGUGCCAAAACGUGGUGCCGGAGUGACGACUCCUCGGGGAUUUGUCCCGAGGCCGGAUGUCCUGAUCGGCCAACAAACUCGCGUUCAUGAAGCUCGGCUGCCCUGACUCGUCGAUGGGCGUGCGGGGGUGACUGGAGUGAUG